rnacentral:lncRNA from 1 species
CUCUCUUCUGUCUUUCUCAGACUAAUUGCUUCCUGAACUAAGAAGGGUGCCCAGAUGGAGACCUGGGAAGUUUGAUAUAUUCCGGAUCCUUCAACGACUGAGAUUCCGGAUGAUAAAUAAACUGCUCAGUGGAAUUUGAAACAACCUACUCACAGACUUAAAAGGAGUAGAAGGAAAUGGCCUCUGUACAAAGCCUGAAUUCAGAGUGAGAAGGGGGAGUUGUCAUCCACUGAACUCUACACUUAUUAUGUGUAGGUCAGAAUGUGAGUUCUGUUUACCACCCAUUCUGCUAUCCUGUCUCACUCGAGAGCCUCCAUCAGACCACGCCAGGAGUUACACGGAUCAGGAGAUCUUCCUGACCCGGAGACUGAACCCGCUCCUCCUGCGUUGGCAGGCAAAUUCUUUUAUCACUGAGCCCCAGCUUCCUGCAAACUGUCAGAGCCCCUAAAUACGACAAGAAGUAGCCAAGACUAUAAAUCUCUCUGUAAGUUUCCAUGUUCACCCCAAAUUGUGAAGUCCUACACCCUGUGAACACUGAGAAUGGAGAACAAUAACCUAGACAGUCC